rnacentral:lncRNA from 1 species
UUCUUUUUGUCAAAUAGAGGGUCGCUUUCAGAGAGUCUAAGAACUAUUGCAUCCGUGCACGAUAAACUGUCUGAGGGGCUUUUCUGCAAUCAAAGUAUAAGCAUUUCGUGAAUGCUGAGGCUCAACCAUCAAGAAUGUAGAAAAGAAUUUGCAAUUCGAUACGAGAUUAGUGACGCAAGAUCAACUCGUAUACGCAGUGAAAUCCCAAUAAACCCAUAGUGCCCAUGUAAAAUACAAAGAGCUAACGAGAGUAUUCAAUCCAAGCAUAUUAUAAGAUGAACAAGGAACGCAUACUAAAACCCGAAACGCAAAAAGUAAUCAACACAAAAUCAGAGACAAGUACAGCAUCAUCACACAAUACAUCAACUCAAACUAAGCACCUACACUUCCCGGCACCACAAGAACCACAACUUCACACACUACAAAUUACACCCAAAAAAAAAAUAAAAACAAAUGGUUCAAAUCCCAUGACACUUAGUCAUAGCAGAUUGGUAAUGGCCAUGAACCAAAAGAUGGACCCCUCAGAAUCCCUUGUAGGAAAACCCGGUUUUCUCGACCACUCAUCACGUGAAAAACGUUCUCGUUUCAGUUUCCUCAAGUCACAGAAUCCUAAGCGACCAAACAGAGCACAGUAGGGACCAGAGACUGGGUUGAGACUGUACACAACGAGAGAGCACAAAAACUGAGAGGCAAAUUUAGUGGAGAGAAGCUGAGAAAAAUAGAUGGUCACCUUGCAAUCUUCCAUUUCUUGCAGUUCCAGCGGAGCUCCAGAACGGCGAGUGUCGACAAGGUAGCCGAGAGAGGGAGAGAGAGUACAGGCUCCGCCGCUCUUCCCCGGCGUCGCGCCGCCGUCUUCGUCUUUUCUCUUCUUUUGAACUUUCUUAAGAAUAAUUCCAAUUCUUUUUCUUGGUCGGCCAGGUGUAGUAGUAAUU